CAGUAGAGAAAUUGUGAACAAUCAGAUCUGAAUAGAAAAAUGGACAAGGGACAUUACCAGAUAAUCUAAAAGCUAGAAAGGAAAAGAAAAACAAUUGUUAUUCUAGUUAACUACUAAAAUGCAAAUUAAUAGGAUACUGUUUUUUUUCCAUAUCAGGUUUUCAAGUAUUUUUUUAGAGUCAUAAUGUUUAAAAAAAAUCCAUGAUACAAAACAUACUCUAUUAAUUUGAGGUAAGAAUGUAAAUGGAAGCAGCAUUUUCUGGAAAACAGUUUGAUGACAUAAAGUUUUAGUAAUUUAUUAUUGAAGGUUAUAACUAAAGAGGUAUAAUUGAAGAAUGAUGAAUUUUGAAAAUAUUUGUUAUGUAAUAUAUAAGGUACAAUGUUUAUAUUAAAAAAGCAAAAUAAAAAACUAAAUUUAAAACUUUACUGUCCAAUAUGGCAACAACUAGUCACAUGUAGCUUUUUUUUUUUUGAAGGCACAGAGUCUCUGUCACCCAGGCUGGAGGGCAGUGGUGUGAUCAUAGCUCACUAUAACCUCAAAUUUCUGGGCUCAAGCACUCCUCCUGCGUCAGCCUCCCAAGUAGCUGGUAUUACAUGUGCACACCACCAUGCCCAGCUAACUUUUUAAAUUUUUUGUAAAGAUGGGGUCUCACUAUGUUGUCCAGGCUGAUCUUGAACUUCUUGCCUCAAGCAAUUCUCCCAUUGCCUUCCCAAAGCACAGAGGUUACAGGAGUGAGUCACCACUCAGCCACAUGCAUCUUUUGAACACUUGGAAUAUGUCCAGUCUGAAACUUUAGAUAUGUACACACCCACACACAUACACAUGUCCUGUUUUGAUGUCCUAUAAUUAAUUUUCUCUCCGUUUUUAACUUUUAUCUAUCUUAUUAAUGUACAGAAUCGCCCUGAAAUCUGGCUAUGGAAAAUAUCUUGGUAUAAAUUCAGAUGAACUUGUUGGGCAUUCAGAUGCAAUUGGACCAAGAGAACAAUGGGAACCAGUCUUUCAAAAUGGGAAAAUGGCUUUGUUGGCCUCAAAUAGCUGCUUUAUUAGAUGCAAUGAAGCAGGGGACAUAGAAGCAAAAAGUAAAACAGCAGGAGAAGAAGAAAUGAUCAAGAUUAGAUCCUGUGCUG
rnacentral:lncRNA from 1 species